rnacentral:rRNA from 1 species
UACGGAGGAUGCAAGCGUUGUCCGGAAUUAUUGGGCGUAAAGGGUCCGUAGGCGGUUUGGUAAGUCAGAGGUGAAAGCCCAUCGCUCAACGGUGGAACGGCCAUUGAUACUGCUAAACUUGAAUUAUUAGGAAGUAACUAGAAUAUGUAGUGUAGCGGUGAAAUGCUUAGAGAUUACAUGGAAUACCAAUUGCGAAGGCAGGUUACUACUAAUGGAUUGACGCUGAUGGACGAAAGCGUGGGUAGCGAACAGG